rnacentral:rRNA from 1 species
AACUUUCAACAACGGAUCUCUUGGUUCCCGCAUCGAUGAAGAACGCAGCCGAAAUGCGAUAAGUAAUGUGAAUUGCAGAAUUCAGUGAAUCAUCGAAUCUUUGAACGCACAUUGCGCCCCCUGGUAUUCCGGGGGGCAUGCC